rnacentral:ribozyme from 11 species
GACAGAAAGAAAGAAAGAAAAGAAAGAAAUAAGGGAGGAGAAAAGAAGAAAAGAAGGAAACGAAAGGAGAGCGUCAUUCGAUGCUCCCUGGCUGCCUGGUUACCUGCAUUCCUGUCUGCCCGCCUGUCUGUCUUUUCGUUUGUUGCUUCUUUCUACUUGCUCCU